rnacentral:tRNA from 1 species
GGGGAUUUAGCUCAGUGGCAUAAGCACCUGCCUUGCAAGCAGGAGGUCAUGAGUUCAAUUCUUGGCACCA